rnacentral:rRNA from 1 species
GCGUAGGAAUCUACCCAGUAGCGGGGGAUAGCCCGAGGAAACUCGGAUUAAUACCGCAUACGCCCUGAGGGGGAAAGGGGGCAGUUUACUGCUCUCACUAUUGGAUGAGCCUGCGUAAGAUUAGCUUGUUGGUGGGGUAAUGGCCUACCAAGGCGACGAUCUUUAGCUGGUCUGAGAGGACGAUCAGCCACAUUGGGACUGAGACACGGCCCAGACAUCUACGGAUGGCAGCAGUUAAGAAUAUUGGACAAUGGGGGCAACCCUGAUCCAGGUAUACCGCGUGUGUGAAGAAGGCCCUAG